UCCUUUUUAGUAAGUUUUCCCUGGUUCUACCUUUUGGCUCUGGGUCUUACUCUCUCCUCAAAGUCUGCAGGGGCAAGAGUGCCACUGAUUCCUACAUCUCUGAAUUGGAUUUCCAUCGCCUACCAACUCUGAUCUCUGGGAAGCUAUACAUGCUGAGAAACUCUGAUGGAGAUUGCCGGGCUCUUUGUAGUUGGCUAUCCUCUUCUUCCUGAGCAUACUGGGAGACCUCUCAGACUUUCUUGCAGUAUUACAAAGACACAAGUUCUCAUAUAUCCAACACCAUUUUGAGGAGGAAAAGAAAACUCCAAAAGACUGUUU